rnacentral:lncRNA from 1 species
CAGUUUCAUUGACUUAAUCUGACCUCUAGGUGGCAGCAGCUCUAAUCUCUCCAAAGAGAAGAAAAGAGCUGUAUGUUGAGAGAGAGAGAGAGAGAGAGAGAGAGAGAUUAACAUCACUGAACCUCAGUUCUUGACCAGGUAAAAGUAGAGGCCAACAUUCCAUGUCACGGCUACAGAGGCGUGAAAUGAACACCGUCUAGGGAAUACGGAGGGACAGACAACACGUGUUUAGUGUCACGUAUUUGUCACCUACUCAUUACAACUCACUCAGAAUUAAUUGGGAUUUUGAGGUUGUUGUCCUGGGCUUGAACUUAAUAUUUUCUUCAUACCUGUUAUUUAAUUCCGCAGAAGAUACUGCUGCUUCUGCCAGAAGUUCAGCAGAUGAGUGAGAGAGAACAAAGACUGGCUGGAGCUCCAGUUCUGCUAUGUCAUUGCUAUGUGACCCUUCUGAGCUCCCAUUUCCUUGAUGGAGCUGACACUGAUUGGACCAUGGAGGUCCAUGAGGAUGAAAUAGGAACUUACAGGAAAUUCACAUCAGAGAAGGGAAGAGAGUAUUCUGCAGGAAGUCAAAGCACAUUGAAGUGACCAAGAUGAUAUCUUAGAGUCAUGUACUGAUAUGUAAGGGUAUGAAUCUUAAUACUAAUUAAUAAGAUCCAACAGUAUCAACUCCUGGCUUAUGUUAAAAUAGGCAAAAGAUGAGAACCACAGAGAAGUACUCAUUGUGAACUUGAAAAUAAGAAAUAUGUGAUCACCCUGUCUUGUAUAAAACCACAAAUCAAUUCAUAAUGGAUUAGAGUAGAUAUAUAAAAGUCAUCAAAAAAUCUAGAGUGAGUCCAGGCCCUCAAGACUAGACAGCAACCUGAUAUGAACUCAUAUCAGACCUAAAAAAAUGGCUCAUUGGAAGCAGGGGUG